rnacentral:rRNA from 1 species
CCUACGGGUGGCAGCAGUGAGGAAUAUUGGUCAAUGGCCGGAAGGCUGAACCAGCCAAGCCGCGUGAAGGACGAAGGUGCUAAGGAUUGUAAACUUCUUUUGCCAGGGGGCAAAAUCCGGCACGUGAGCCUGCCCGGGGAGUACUCGGAGAAAAGGCUCGGGGAACUCCGUGCCAGGAGCCGCGGUAAUACGGAGGGGGCGAGCGUUAUCCGGGUUUAUUGGGUUUAAAGGGUGCGUAGGCGGACAGUUAAGCCAGCGGUAAAAGGCCGGGGCUCAACCCCGGCCAGCCGUCGAAACUGGGUGCCUUGAGUGGUCGAGAGGUAUGCGGAAUGCGCGGUGUAGCGGUGAAAUGCUUAGAUAUCGCGCAGAACCCCGAUUGCGAAGGCAGCAUACCGGCGGCGAACUGACGCUGAGGCACGAAAGUGUGGGUAUCGAACAGGAUUAGAUACCCGAGUAGUC